GGGGAUUUAGCUCAGUGGUAGAGCACUUGCCUAGCAAGCACAAAGCCCUGGGUUCGGUCCCCAGCUCCA
rfam:Rattus norvegicus chromosome 8, whole genome shotgun sequence.